rnacentral:rRNA from 1 species
GACGAACGCUGGCGGCGUGCUUAACACAUGCAAGUCGAACGGAAAGGCCCUGCUUUUGUGGGGUGCUCGAGUGGCGAACGGGUGAGUAACACGUGAGUAACCUGCCCUUUACUUUGGGAUAACUUCAGGAAACUGGGGCUAAUACCGGAUAGGAGCUCCUGCUGCAUGGUGGGGGUUGGAAAGUUUCGGCGGUUGGUGAUGGACUCGCGGCUUAUCAGCUUGUUGGUGGGGUAGUGGCUUACCAAGGCUUUGACGGGUAGCCGGCCUGAGAGGGUGACCGGCCACAUUGGGACUGAGAUACGGCCGAGACUCCUACGGGAGGCAGCAGUGGGGAAUAUUGCACAAUGGGCGGAAGACUGAUGCAGCAACGCCGCGUGCGGGAUGACGGCCUUCGGGUUGUAAACCGCUUUCGCCUGUGACGAAGCGUGAGUGACGGUAAUGGGUAAAGAAGCACCGGCUAACUACGU